GGGGAAUUUUCCGCAAUGGGCGCAAGCCUGACGGAGCAAUACCGCGUGAGGGAGGAAGGCUUUUGGGUCGUAAACCUCUUUUAUCAGGGAAGAACAUAAUGACGGUACCUGAUGAAUCAGCAUCGGCUAACUCCGUGCCAGCAGCCGCGGUAAUACGGAGGAUGCAAGCGUUAUCCGGAAUUAUUGGGCGUAAAGCGUCCGCAGGUGGUUGUGAAAGUCUGUUGUCAAAGCGUCUAGCUCAACUAGAUACGGGCGAUGGAAACUAUACGACUAGAGUUUGGUAGGGGUCACGGGAAUUCCCAGUGUAGCGGUGAAAUGCGUAGAGAUUGGGAAGAACACCAGCGGCGAAAGCGCGUGACUGGGCCUGAACUGACACUCAUGGACGAAAGCUAGGGGAGCGAAAGGGAUUAGAUACCCC
rnacentral:rRNA from 1 species